UUCAACUAAGUAAAUUAUAGAUUGAUCGGAGUACCAUAUGUAUGUAUGAAUGACAGCGAUGCCCAAUUCGUCGUGUUCAAAAAGUUGUUGCAUGUCCUCCUUUGCAAUUAUUUCGAAAUGAGCAAUUCCGAAAACACCUUCAUCAAAAUCUAUACUACGAAUGGCCCCGUGCAUAAUAUCGGACUCUUCCACCAUUUUCUCAAGACGCAUCAUAAUUUGAGAUUUUG
rnacentral:lncRNA from 1 species